rnacentral:rRNA from 1 species
UACGUAGGGUGCAAGCGUUGUCCGGAAUUAUUGGGCGUAAAGAGCUCGUAGGCGGUCUGUCGCGUCGGCUGUGAAAACCCGGAGCUCAACUCCGGGCCUGCAGUCGAUACGGGCAGACUGGAGUUCGGCAGGGGAGACUGGAAUUCCUGGUAUAGCGGUGAAAUGCGCAGAUAUCAGGAGGAACACCGGUGGCGAAGGCGGGUCUCUGGGCCGAUACUGACGCUGAGGAGCGAAAGCGUGGGGAGCGAACAGG